GAUGAAGAACGUAGCGAAAUGCGAUACGUAAUGUGAAUUGCAGAAUUCAGUGAAUCAUCGAAUCUUUGAACGCAUAUUGCGCUCUCUGGUAUUCCGGAGAGCAUGCUUGUUUGAGUAUCAGUAAACACCUCAACUCUUUUUUCUUUUUUGAAAUUGGAGCUGGACUUGAGUGAUCCCAACGCUUUCUUCCAAGAAAGUGGCGGGUUGCUUGAAAUGCAGGUGCAGCUGAACUUUUCUCUGAGCUAUAAGCAUAUCUAUUUAGUCUGCCUAAAAAACAGAUUAUUACCUUUGCUGCAGCUAACAUAAAGGAGACUAGUUCUUGUGCUGACUGAUGCAGGAUUCACAGAGACAGCUUCGGCUGACUUUGUAAACUCGAUCUCAAAUCAAGUAAGACUACCCGCUGAACUUAAGCAUAUCAAUAGCGGAGGA
rnacentral:misc_RNA from 1 species